UACGAAGGGGGCUAGCGUUGUUCGGAAUUACUGGGCGUAAAGCGCACGUAGGCGGAUCGAUCAGUCAGGGGUGAAAUCCCAGGGCUCAACCCUGGAACUGCCUUUGAUACUGUCGAUCUGGAGUAUGGAAGAGGUGAGUGGAAUUCCGAGUGUAGAGGUGAAAUUCGUAGAUAUUCGGAGGAACAUCAGUGGCGAAGGCGGCUCACUGGUCCAUUACUGACGCUGAGGUGCGAAAGCGUGGGGAGCAAACAGG
rnacentral:rRNA from 1 species